GACAGAGGGUGCAAACGUUGUUCGGAAUUACUGGGCGUAAAGCGCGUGUAGGCGGCUAUGCAAGUCGGGCGUGAAAGCCCUCGGCUCAACCGAGGAAGUGCACUCGAAACUGCGUAGCUAGAGUCCCGGAGAGGAAGGUGGAAUACUUGGUGUAGAGGUGAAAUUCGUAGAUAUCAAGUGGAAACACCGGUGGCGAAGGCGGGCCUU
rnacentral:rRNA from 1 species